UUCCGGUUGAUCCUGCCGGAGACUACCUCUAUCAGGAUUCGACUAAGCCAUGCGAAGCCAUUGCCAAUUCUUCACGGAUUGGCAAGCUGUACUGCUCAGUAACACGUAGUUAACAUGCCCUUAGCAGGGGGAUAAUCGUGCGAAAGUGCGAAUAAUACCCCAUAGGUGAAGAAUGCUGGAAGGCAUCUUCGCUCAAAGCUUCGGCAGCUAAGGAUUGGACUGCGGUGGAUUAGGUUGUUGCUAGACUAAAUCCCUAGUAAGCCUAUAAUCCAUACGGGUCGUGAGAGCGAUAGCCCGGAGAUGGAUUCUGAGACAUGAAUCCAGGCCCUACGGGGCGCAGCAGGCGCGCAAACUUCGCAAUGUGUGAAAGCACGACGAGGGGAUCCUGAGUGAGUUCGCUUAUGCGGGCUCUUUUGCCAAAUGUAAAAAGUUUGGCGAAUAAGGGGUGGGCAAUACGGUUGCCAGCCGCCGCGGUAAUAACCGAGCCCCAAGGGGUAGUCGCGUUUAUUUGGUCUAAAGCGUCCGUAGCCGGCUUGAUAAGUCUCUGGUGAAAUUUGUAAAAACAGGCUUUUUGCAAACAUCAAGUCUUACAGCAAACUGUAAGGCUUGCUGGAGAUACUAUCAGGCUUGGGACCGGGAGAGGUCAAUCGUACGUUACGGGUAGGGGUAAAAUCCUUUAAUCCGUAACGGACGACCUGUGGCGAUUGCUUUUGAUCUCCAAAAGCAUUCAUAAAAGGCGAUUGACUGGAACGGGUCCGACGGUGAGGGACGAAAGCUAGGGUAGCGAUCGGGAUUAGAUACCCCGGUAGUCCUAGCUGUUAACGAUGCCCGUUUGGUGUUGCAUAUCUUUCGGAGAUAUGCAGUGCCGUAGCGAAGGUGUUUAAACGGGCCACCUGGGGACUACGUCCGCAAGGAUGAAACUUAAGGGAAUUGGCGGGGGAGCAGAAGAAGAGUUCUCUAAGUCAUUUUUUUAAAUUUUACUGAUUUUAAAAAAUGAGCUCUUUUUCUCCCAUACUACCAGGAGUGGAGGCUGCGGUUCAAUUGGAUUCAACGCCGG
rnacentral:rRNA from 1 species